GAUGAAGAACGCAGCGAAAUGCGAUAAGUAAUGUGAAUUGCAGAAUUCAGUGAAUCAUCGAAUCUUUGAACGCACCUUGCGCUCCUUGGUAUUCCUUGGAGCAUGCCUGUUUGAGUAUCAUGAGCAAAUCUCAAAGUCGAUCCUUUUGUUAAUUCAAUUGGUUUGCUUUGGACUUGGAGGCCUUGCAGAUUUCACCGUCUGCUCCUCUUAAAUGCAUUAGCUGGAUCUCAGUAUUAUGCUUGGUUCCACUCGGCGUGAUAAGUAUCACUCGCUGAGGACACUGUAAAAGGUGGCCAGGAAAAUACUGAUCGAACCGCUUCUAACUGUCUAUUAACUUAGACAAUUACCCUUAAGUUUGAUCUCAAAUCAGGUAGGACUACCCGCUGAACUUAAGCAUAUCAAUAAGCGGAGGA
rnacentral:misc_RNA from 1 species